rnacentral:rRNA from 1 species
AUUGAACGCUGGCGGCAGGCCUAACACAUGCAAGUCGAACGAGUGGCGGACGGGUGAGUACUGUCUGGGAAACUGCCCGAUGGAGGGGGAUAACUCCUGGAAACGGUAGCUAAUACCGCAUACCAUCGGAUGUGCCCAGGUGGGAUUAGCUAGUAGGUGGGGUAAAGGCUCACCUAGGCGACGAUCCCUAGCUGGUCUGAGAGGAUGACCAGCCACACUGGAACUGAGACACGGUCCAGACUCCGAGGGGAGGCAGCAUUGGGGAAUAUUGCACAAGGGGCGCAAGCCUGAUGCAGCCAUGCCGGGUGUGUGAAGAAGGCCUUCGGGUUGUAAAGCACUUUCAGCGGGGAGGCGUUACCCGCAGAAGAAGCACCGGCUAACUCCGUGCCAGCAGCCGCGGUAAUAC